GGCCAUGAUCCAGAGUCUUUGUGUCCCUUACAUUGUUGGUAAGGCACAAAGACUCACUGGCCAAUCCCUAGGCCUUGGAGGCUUUACUCUUUUUCCCUCAUCAAGGUUUUGUCCCAAAGGGUUUUCCUUGGUGAGGUUUUUAAUGAGGAAGUUCUUCAAGGUUCCAAGCUUGACUAAGGAUCUCCUAUAGUCAAGCUUGAGGGGGAGUGUUGACUUGAAGAAAAGAAAUGGAGUGGUGAAGUGUUGAGUUGAGAUUGAGUCUUGAGCAAGAAUAGGGCAAGACCUCCGGAGAUUGUCUAUGAAGACUUGAGGAGUGUCUGAAGGUGUCCAGAAGUGCUCAUAUAGCUGUGCAAAGAUAGGACCAAGUCCAGGAGGGACUUAGAAGUAUGUUUGGGAGAAAAUGGGCGAGUGUGCAAUGUUAGGGCGAGGCCGUACGAACUUGUACGGACCUGUACGGACCGGGAUGACCCGAGUAUGCACAAUUCGGCCAUUGGUGAUGUUUUGGGAUUGUGCAAAGUCUGGGCCAAGUACAAGUUCCGAUCCUGAUACCAAGAGAUGGGGAUUUCCCCUCCUCCUUCAUAAUACAAAGUGUUUUCUUGGAUAAGAAUCCCUCAAACUACCCCUUUCUUAUACUUAAAUCUCUUAAUCUCUCUAAAUCUCUUGUUUCUGUCCAAGUUCAUACUGUUCUUCAUCAGACCUUUCUCUCUUCAGUUCAAGCUCUCAUUUCGCCCUUAGUGGCUUCUUCUCACACACACAGCCUGAGCUCUGAAAACCUAACAUGGUAUAAGAGCCAGGUUCAUCAGAACUUGGUUCCAGCUUCCGCAUAUACAUCACAAGUCUAGCCUCAUCACAGAUCCAAACCAUUGAAGAUGUCCAGCCUGUUCUCUCUCUUCAAGAAGAAAGUGUUUGAAGCUAUGGUGGUGUCUCCUGGUCGUUCCUCCUCUCUCCAGUCCAUUAAAGGCAUGUCUCAACUCUGUCCCAAGCUGAAACCCUUCAAGAAGAAAGCUUUCAUCUUGUUCCUGAAGUUGGAGACUUGGAGCUGUGAAGAAAGGUGGAACCUUUUGUGUUGUGGUGUCAAGGAGGAGGUUAUGAACACAAGGAGAAGGUGUUGGGUGACGAUCCACCUCUCUUAUCCACUAGAUUCGUGGCCUGUUAUCAAGGAGGCUCAAGGAACCAGCUCAGGUUCCUUGGUUGUAAGCAAUCCUAAAUCUUCUUGAUAUGAGCUUGUGAUUGAAACUGGUUAUGUGUUGUGUUGUGUUUUAAUCCGUGGGUUAAUGACUGAAAAUGCUUGAUAAUAUUGUCUUGUUUCGUCCCAGGAUGCUAUUGAGUCUUAUUUGAUGUUGAGAAAUGAAAUGCUUGCCCGGUUUGGUUAUGAUUGAGCUAGGAUGUUAGAAACUGUCUAAAUCCUAUUAGCUUUCAUUAAACUGAAAUCACUUAAGGUUUUGCAUUGUCUGAUGUUGAUUGAUGAUAAGUAAUGCCUUGCCUCAGUUAUAAAUGAAUGUGUGAUAGAUUGUAUUGUAUGAGCUCUUGUUGCAUUCAUGAAUAGAAACUGAUUAAGGUUAGUGCAUACUGUCAUCUUGCUGCUGCCUUAGGUUGAUACACUUAGAUUCAAGUCUAAGAUGUAGUUAAGGCAGAAGUUAAAAUGCCUAAGUAGCUUGUCUUGAAUCUGAUUUGAUCUUGCUUGUACUUAGAGAGAUUGCUUGCAAAGAUGUGAACUUGAUAAUGCUUGUUUCAAUCUGUUGCAUAGCUUGUGACAUUGGAGAUCAAACUUGAUGAUUAGUCAAGGAUUGAUCCCAAUGCUUGUGUCUUAUCUUUGCUGGAGUUUGAGUGAUGUUUCAGGUUCACAUGAUGUGCUCUUUGUCCAUCAUCAAUCUGAGUAGAAGAGGAAGACUUUACCCAUUGGGAAUGGUCGCUGGGGUGUAUGUGGAUACACAAGGCGAGUGGUCAUCACCUAAGUCUGGAGGAGACCGGUGACCAGAAGGCAUUGGAGAUAAAUGGAAGGGUUGAUCAGUGGUUGAAGCGCAGUCCAUGAGAUGUUGCGCUCCUGAUCUUAAGGCUCAUUGAGGCUCACUUCAAGCUUGGACCCAUACUCAAUCCAAGCUUGAGGAGGGGAGCAAAGUGAGCCACCUGAUAAUCAUGUUGCUCAAAUGACCUUUGUUACUCAAGGCCAUUACAAGCUGAUCAUGGAGUGAUCCAGCCGAAGUGGAGGGAAGAAGAAAGUCACUCAACAAGCUAGUGUGAAGUGCUUGGAGAUUGGGCUGAGGUAUCUCCUCAGUGCAAUGGUGAUGUAGUGAAGGAUUCAAGCAUCAAGUCUGAAAGAGAUGGAGGUGCUCUCCACAAGGCUUAUCAUGGAGCUAUCAUGCGCUCACCAUCAAGCUUGGACCUUCUCUAUACUCGGUCUCAAGCUUGAGGGGGAGUGUGGAUGAGCUUGCAUGAUAAGAGAAGGAGCUGUUAAGCUCAGCAAGUGAGGGAUUCAAGUGGCGUGUGAAGAGCAGCCACUCCUCACCAUUUAUACAAGGGAGUAAACCUGAUCUUUAUCUCUUUAUAUACAUUCAUGAUAGGUUUAUCUUUUGAGAACUGAUACACUUGUGGAAUGAUGUAUCAGGUACCUUACUUGGAUUCUCAAUGAAGAGGGGGUGAUCUUACCUGAUGGAGAUGGCAAGAAGCCAUGAGAGAAGGGAAGACACAAACCGAGUUCAAGAAGAAGUCCAAGAAGAAUGCUGAAGUGAAGAGGCCGUGAUCCAGAGCCUAUGUGCCUAAACCUCAGUGAUACUAAGGCACAUAGGCUCACUGGCUAAUCCCCGGGCCUUGUUGGCUCUACUCUUUUUCCCUCAUCAAGGUUUUGUCCCAAAGGAUUUUCCUUGGUGAGGUUUUUAAUGAGGGAGUUCUUCAAGGUUCCAAGCUUGACUUAGGAUCGUCUAGAAUCAAGCUUGAGGGGGAGUGUUGACUUGAAGAAAGAAAUGGAGCCAAAGGAGGAGUUGGUUGAGUUUGGGUCUUGAUGAAGGAUAGGGCAAGAUCUUCAGAGAUUGUCUGUCAAGGCUUCAGGAGUGUUUAAAGAAGUCUUGAAGUGUCCUGAAGUCAGUGCAAAGAUAGGGUCAAGUCCAGGAGGGACUUAGACACCAUCUAGAGUAGUUUGGGCGAUGGUGCAAAGUUAGGGCGAGCGGUACGGACUGGUACGAAUCUGUACGGACCUGUACGGAUCCGUACGGACCGAGGUCGACCAAGAAAUGUUCAGACUCAACAAUUGAAGGAGAUUGGGAGUUCGUGCAAAAAUAGGGCGAGGUACGGACAGGCAGUCCGUACCAUCGACCGUACUUGUUCCGGAUCAACCUGAAAUGAAGCUGUGCAAACUUAGGGCGCAAGAGAAGACAAACCUGAGUUAUCUUGUGACUGUUUGUGGAUAAGGGAGAGCUAGGGCGUGGUCAAUGACAGGCUGUCUUUGAGCUGUAAAGGAAAAGCAGCCUUGACCAUGUAUCUAGCCAUCUUUGUGAGCAAGGUUCAUGGGAGCCUUAAGGGAACCAAUCAGGAAGCAGCCCUUGCCUUGACCAGUUUGAAUUAACCAAUCAGGCACCAUCAUCUCUCAUCCAAUCACAAGACAUCACGCAGAUUGCAAACUCACCACUCCAUCCUAGCCAUCCAUUCUUCAAGUGAUUUAUCA
rnacentral:lncRNA from 1 species